GACGAACGCUGGCGGCGUGCUUAACACAUGCAAGUCGUACGGUAAGGCCCUUUCGUUGGUACACGAGUGUCGAACGGGUGAGUAACACUUGAGUGACCUUCCCACAACUUUGGGAUAACGCUAGGAAAGUGGUGCUGAUACUUAAUAUGUGCUCCUUCUUCAUGGGUGGGGUUGGAAAGCUCCGGCGGGUGUUGAUGGACUCGCGGCCUAUCAGCUUGUUGGUUGGGUAGUUGCGUACCAAAGCGGCGACGGGUGGCCGGCCUGAGAGGGUGACCGGCCACCUUGGGACUGAGAUAAGGCCCAGAUUCCUACGGGAGGCAGCAGUGGGGAAUAUUGAACAAUGGGCGCAAGCCUGAUGCAGCAACGCCGCGUGCGGGAUGACGGUCUUCGGGUUGUAAACCGCUUUUAGCAGGGACGAAGCUUUUUGUGACGGUACCUGAAGAAGAAGCACCGGCUAACUACGUG
rnacentral:rRNA from 1 species